UACGUAGGUGGCAAGCGUUGUCCGGAUUUAUUGGGUUUAAAGGGUGUGUAGGCGGUUGUUUAAGUUUGGUGUGAAAUCUCCCGGCUCAACUGGGAGGGUGCGCCGAAUACUGAAUGACUUGGAGUGCGGGAGAGGUGAGUGGAAUUCCUGGUGUAGCGGUGAAAUGCGUAGAUAUCAGGAGGAACACCGGUGGUGUAGACGGCUCACUGGACCGUAACUGACGCUGAGACACGAAAGCGUGGGUAGCAAACAGG
rnacentral:rRNA from 1 species